GGUAGUGGUAGCUCAGUGGUUAAGAUGUUGGACUUCUGUUCGGAAAGUCAUGAGUUCACAUCCCAGCACUGCUA